UUAUAAUUUUCUUGCUUGCUUAGCAAUCAACAUCAAGUCCACUGACAAGUCCAAAGCAAGCACAGGAAAUGCCGUCCUGCAGAGGUAAAGGUUAAGGCCAACAUUUCCGAGAACUGAGACAGGAGUGUGCAGAAGAGAAGAGCCCCAAUCCAAUCACUCAGUCUUCCUUGUAGCUGUUCCCAUGUUCUAAGCGUGAGUUCGAUGUCCUGUCUGCCGCCAAGGACUGGAAGCUUCCCCAUUUCUGCCAUAAAAAGUGAACAGGUUACUCCUGGCUGCUUAAAUUUCAUGCCUGAAAUAUCCCGGAUAAGCUGCUUGGAACGAGCCAAACAUUACAAUGAAAAUGGGAUCUGGCAUCCUUUCCUGAUUAAUGGCAGGGCUGGAUUCUGUCAGUGUUCAACGACAUGAAAUUCCAAGGCCUGGAACCAAAUGUCCAUGCUUUCCAGUAAGUACAGUUGACCCUUGCACAACACGAAUUUGAACUACGUGGUCCACUUAUACACAGAUUUUCUUCUGCCUCUGCCAACCCUGAGACAGCAAACUUUCCUCCUCCUCCUCCUCAGCCUACUCAACAUGAAGACAAUGAGGAUGGAGAACUUUAUGAUGAUCCACUUCCACCUAAUGAACAGUAAAUAUAUUUUCUUUCAUGAUUUUCUUAAUAACAUUUUCCUUUCUCUAGCUUACCUACUGUAAGAAUACAAUAUGUAAUAUGGAUAAUAUACAAAAUAUGUCUUAAUCAACUGUUUACAUUUUCCGUAAGGUUUCCGGUCAAGAGUAGGCUAUAAGUAGUUAUGUUUUGGGGGAGUCAAAAGUUAUACACAGAUGUUUGACUGUGAGGGGUGGGGGUGCCUCUAACGCCUAUGUUGUUCAACUUUAUAUAAGUC
rnacentral:lncRNA from 10 species